rnacentral:rRNA from 1 species
AUGCGGAGGUGCCAUACGUUCGGUAGUCGAUCGGUUGGAUCGCGAAGAAGUUCGACUACAUCAAUCGCAUUAACAAACGCUUCCACUUACGGUCUACGAGGGUACGUAGACACACUCUCCCUCUUGUUGCUAUGCAUCUCCAUGGAUAGAUCUUGCGUGUGCGUAGAUUUUUUUGUUUUCCAUGCAACGUUCCCCAACACUAGGGGUCUUUCUCUCUCGGUUGCAAACAACCACACAAUAUCUCCUCACCUCGCUUCCGCUGUCGAAGAUGCAUGUGUGAUAUGUUUGCAUAAGACACACACACUUUUUCUCUACUUUAUCGUGUGUUGUCCAUGUCUCUUUCAAACACGCACACACACUUUUUUCACUCACUCUUUCUAUUUCACACACCCUCUAUCUCUCUCUCUCUAG